UGUACUAAAAAAUAAUAUAGUAUUUACCUCUCAUUAAAUUGUUAUAAUUAUUGUUCUCAUUAUUAUUUCUAUAUAAUUCUCAUUAUGGACCACAAUUACGCAGCUAAUGAAGUGGAAGUAGAAAUUGACGAUGAUCAUGAAGAAAAUGCACACAUUUUACCGCAGGAAGCUGUUUCAACAUAUACAACAUUGCCUGGUGUUCGACUAAAGUCUUUAGUUGAUAUAGAUAAUUUAGGCUAUAGAUAUUACAAAAAUAAUAGCCGUAACAAUAAAAUGUAUGUGAAAACCAAAAAAAUAGAGCAGAAUUUUAUCCAACUAAAGCAAUUAUAAGUAUGGACAUAAAAUAAAAUAGGAUUAAGGCAAAUAUGAACCAUCACCAUAAUCCACCAAUAGUUGAUAUUCCAAUGGUCCAUUUAAGGAGAAGUUUUGAAAUGACAGGAACAAGUUCUGGAAGAAUGUUAAACUCAAUAAGAAAUAUUUAUAACAAUGAAAUAAUUGCAUGGUGCAAGUAAUUAUACAUUUCUCCAAUCCCAAGCACAUGUACAAAGAAUGCGUCAUUGCCGACGUCCACCAAACCCAGACACUAUUGAAGUGUUGGCAGGUAUCCUGAAUGAAAAAAUGGCAUAUGCAUCAACCCUGCAGCAUCCACCUUCAAGAUGACAGCAGAUAGGACUAAUUAUCCUUUAAAGAAAAUAUUUUAACAUUUCAUUAAAUCGAUUAUAUGUAUUUAGGUUUUUUCAACAACUAUUUAAAGCUGUGGGACAAACUCUUGGAGUAGUAUUUUUCAAUUUAGAUGCCAUUGAAAAGUAUAGAAAUGAGCUUCUAUCUGUCAGAAUUGCAGGAGUUGAUGGAACCUUUAAACUGUACCAAAACGUCCUUCUCGGUUUAAUAAAGGUUGCCUUCUGACAUUUCAUGUACUUUUUAAAAAUGUUUCCUUUCCAAUGGUGUAUUAUGCUUUGACAUCAAAAAUGACACAAGCCACAUAUUAGUCGUUCUUCCAAAUUGUUUACAGAAUUUCGCCAUUGAAUUAUGCUCAACUGACUUUAAUUAUGGACUAUAAAAGAAGCUUGAUGAAUGCUGUCAGAAGCAAUUUUAACGAAAGCAAUCUCCAAGGUUGCUUUUUUCACUACUGUCAAGAUGUAUUCUGCCUCAAGCAUUCAGACUCUGAAGCACCAAUAUAAAUUAUUACAACAAUCUUAUACAAAAAACAAUUUAAAAUUUAGACAUAUCUCCAAUGAAUUUGACAAAUAUUAGGGUUUACCAAAGUGAAGGACUUAUCUGGAUCAACCCUUGGCAAAGCAAGUUCGAUUAAAAUUUCAGGAGAUACACUCAAGCAGCUUUAUGAAGCUAUGGAGAUACAAACAUGCAAUAGCAAUAUAUCCGGACAUUCCCGAUGCCUAUUGCGAUAUAGGGGUAAUAUUUGAUAAGCAUGGCCUUCUCAAACAAGCCAAAGUAUUUUAAGAAAUGGUAAUCAAGUUAAGUCCAGACGACCAUGACAACGCUCGAUUGAAUUUGGCCGAUAUGUCCAUGAAAAAAAUGGAUCUUGAUGACAUUAUGACAGACAAUGAAAAGCUAGAGAAUAAGAAAAUACACCUGCCAAGUACAUGUAAUUUGAUAUUCUACAACGAUAAUAUUUCAUCCUGGUUGAAUUACUUUGAACACCAUAAAGAUUUGUCUCAACCCAGGAAAAGUUGAUGUUUUUUGCAGUAUUUAUUUACGACAAAAUAACUAAAAUCGUAAUACUUGGUUUUAAUAUGUAAUAUCUUGAACUUAAAAUGUCUGUAAAAAUAACUGUGCUUAUAUAAGUUUUAGAUUAUUUGGUUACAGUGUGAGAUUUGUUGUUUUAAAUUUUCAAACCUUAGAUUUAAAAAUUGAAAUUUUUUUAAUUUUUUAA
rnacentral:lncRNA from 1 species